rnacentral:rRNA from 1 species
UGGGGAAUAUUGGACAAUGGGCGAAAGCCUGAUCCAGCCAUGCCGCGUGUGUGAAGAAGGUCUUCGGAUUGUAAAGCACUUUAAGUUGGGAGGAAGGGCAGUAAGCGAAUACCUUGCUGUUUUGACGUUACCGACAGAAUAAGCACCGGCUAACUCUGUGCCAGCAGCCGCGGUAAUACAGAGGGUGCAAGCGUUAAUCGGAAUUACUGGGCGUAAAGCGUGCGUAGGCGGCUAAUUGAGUCGGAUGUGAAAUCCCCGAGCUUAACUUGGGAAUUGCAUUCGAUACUGGUUAGCUAGAGUGUGGGAGAGGAUGGUAGAAUUCCAGGUGUAGCGGUGAAAUGCGUAGAGAUCUGGAGGAAUACCGAUGGCGAAGGCAGCCAUCUGGCCUAACACUAACGCUGAGAUACGAAAGCAUGGGGAGCAUACAGG